GCGAUUCGCCCUUGGGGUGCACCAGGCGCGAAAACUUUACAAUGCUGGCAACAGCGAUAAGGGGACCUCGAGUGCCAGGAUACAAUCUUGGCUGUCGCGAUGCCUAAAAAGCAUUGCAUAGCAAGGGCCGGGCAAGACCGGUGCCAGCCGCCGCGGUAACACCGGCGGCUCGAGUGGUAACCGCUAUUAUUGGGUCUAAAGGGUCUGUAGCCGGCCGGAUAAGUCUUUUGGGAAAUCCAGCUGCUUAACAGUUGGGCUUUCAGAAGAUACUGUUCGGCUCGAGACCGGGAGAGGUGAGAGGUACUUCAGGGGUAGGGGUGAAAUCUUGUAAUCCUUGAAGGACCACCAGUGGCGAAGGCGUCUCACCAGAACGGAUCUGACGGCAAGGGACGAAAGCUAGGGGCACGAACCGGAUUAGAUACCCGGGUAGUCCUAGCCGUAAACGAUACUCGCUAGGUGUCAGCCACGGUGCGACCGUGGUUGGUGCCGUAGGGAAGCCGUGAAGCGAGCCACCUGGGAAGUACGGCCGCAAGGCUGAAACUUAAAGGAAUUGGCGGGGGAGCAC
rnacentral:rRNA from 1 species